rnacentral:rRNA from 1 species
CACUCUCGCAAACGCCCCACCAUGAUCUUCAAACUCAACUUUAGGAAAGCCUUCGACUUGGUUGCCUGGAACGCCCUCGACAAAAUCCUGGAUGUCCGUGGCUUCUCCCAAACUUUUCGUAACUGGAUUCAGAAUAUGCUCAACACUGGCAAGACUGCCAUCCUCCUAAACGGCAUCCCAGGUCGAUGGAUUCCAUGUAAGAAUGGACUGUGCCAGGGAGACCCGGCCUCCCCCUACCUUUUCUUAAUUGUUGCCGAUCUACUCCAACAACUUAUCCUUCAAAACCCUGAUCCUAAUCUUCACCAUCCCAUCUUCACCCACCUGCCCCCUACUAUUCUUCAAUACGCUGACGAUACGUUGAUCAUUGCUGCUGCCUCCCCCACCGCUGCUACCACACUCAAGAAUAUACUCCAACACUUUGCCCAGGCUACUGGCCUUACCAUAAACUUCUCCAAAACCACCCUAGCAACGCUGCAUACAAAUGAAACCCUUGCUGCCAGCAUUGCCCUAGCCAUGGAUUGCACACGUGCCUCCCUUCCUCAAACCUACCUCGGCCUCCCCCUCGCCCCGACCAAACCACCAUCCAAUGCAUUCGCCCCGCUGAUUGAACGUACUCGCAAACUUCUCAUCGGCUGGCGCGCAAAGCUACUAGACAGGGGCGAUCCCUCAUACUCAUCUCCGCAGUCCUCGACUCCAUUCUUACGUACUUCAUGUCUGUUUUUCGGAUCCCCAAGAAAACCCUAA